GACAGAGGGUGCAAAACGUUUGUUCGGAAUUACUGGGCGUAAAGCGUGUGUAGGCGGCCGCGUAAGUCGGAUGUGAAAAGCCCCUGGGCUCAACCCCAGGAAGUGCACUCGAUACUGCGUGGCUCGAGUACUGGAGAGGUUGGUGGAAUUCUCGGUGUAGAGGUGAAAAUUCGUAGAUAUCGAGAGGAACACCGGUGGCGAAGGCGGCCAACUGGACAGAUACUGACGUGAGACACGAAAAGCGUGGGGGGAGCAAAACAGGG
rnacentral:rRNA from 1 species